rnacentral:rRNA from 1 species
AUUGAACGCUGGCGGCAUGCCUUACACAUGCAAGUCGAACGGUAACAGGUCUUCGGAUGCUGACGAGUGGCGAACGGGUGAGUAAUACAUCGGAACGUGCCUAGUAGUGGGGGAUAACUACUCGAAAGAGUGCUAAUACCGCAUGAGAUCUACGGAUGAAAGCAGGGGAUCGCAAGACCUUGUGCUACUAGAGCGGCCGAUGGCAGAUUAGGUAGUUGGUGGAAUAAAAGCUUACCAAGCCGACGAUCUGUAGCUGGUCUGAGAGGACGAUCAGCCACACUGGGACUGAUACACGGCCCAGACUCCUACGGGAGGCAGCAGUGGGGAAUUUUGGACAAUGGGCGAAAGCCUGAUCCAGCAAUGCCGCGUGCAGGAUGAAGGCCUUCGGGUUGUAAACUGCUUUUGUACGGAACGAAAAGCCCCGGGUUAAUACCCUGGGGUCAUGACGGUACCGUAAGAAUAAGCACCGGCUAACUACGUGCCAGCCGCCGCAGUAA